GAUGAACGCUGGCGGCGUGCCUAAUACAUGCAAGUCGAGCGAACGGACGAGAAGCUUGCUUCUCUGAUGUUAGCGGCGGACGGGUGAGUAACACGUGGAUAACCUACCUAUAAGACUGGGAUAACUUCGGGAAACCGGAGCUAAUACCGGAUGAUAUUUUGAACCGCAUGGUUCAAAAGUGAAAGACGGUCUUGCUGUCACUUAUAGAUGGAUCCGCGCUGCAUUAGCUAGUUGGUAAGGUAACGGCUUACCAAGGCAACGAUGCAUAGCCGACCUGAGAGGGUAAUCGGCCACACUGGAACUGAGACACGGUCCAGACUCCUACGGGAGGCAGCAGUAGGGAAUCUUCCGCAAUGGGCGAAAGCCUGACGGAGCAACGCCGCGUGAGUGAUGAAGGUCUUCGGAUCGUAAAACUCUGUUAUUAGGGAAGAACAUAUGUGUAAGUAACUGUGCACAUCUUGACGGUACCUAAUCAGAAAGCCACGGCUAACUACGCG
rnacentral:rRNA from 1 species